GACGAACGCUGGCGGCGUGCCUAAUACAUGCAAGUAGAACGCACAGUUUAUACCGUAGCUUGCUACACCAUAGACUGUGAGUUGCGAACGGGUGAGUAACGCGUAGGUAACCUGCCUGGUAGCGGGGGAUAACUAUUGGAAACGAUAGCUAAUACCGCAUAAUAUUAAUUAUUGCAUGAUAAUUAAUUGAACGGUGCAAUUGCACCACUACCAGAUGGACCUGCGUUGUAUUAGCUAGUAGGUGAGGUAACGGCUCACCUAGGCGACGAUACAUAGCCGACCUGAGAGGGUGAUCGGCCACACUGGGACUGAGACACGGCCCAGACUCCUACGGGAGGCAGCAGUAGGGAAUCUUCGGCAAUAGACGAAAGUCUGACCGAGCAACGCCGCGUGAGUGAAGAAGGUUUUCGGAUCGUAAAGCUCUGUUGUAAGAGAAGAACGGGUGUGAGAGUGGAAAGUUCGCACUGUGACGGUAUCUUACCAGAAAGGGACGGCUAACUACGUG
rnacentral:rRNA from 1 species